AUUGAACGCUGGCGGCAUGCCUUACACAUGCAAGUCGAACGGAUUUCGGGGCUUGCUCCAGAGUUAGUGGCGAACGGGUGAGUAAUGCAUCGGAACGUACCCAGUCGUGGGGGAUAACGUAGCGAAAGUUACGCUAAUACCGCAUACGAUCUGAGGAUGAAAGCGGGGGACCUUCGGGCCUCGCGCGAUUGGAGCGGCCGAUGUCGGAUUAGCUAGUUGGUGAGGUAAAGGCUCACCAAGGCGACGAUCCGUAGCUGGUCUGAGAGGACGACCAGCCACACUGGGACUGAGACACGGCCCAGACUCCUACGGGAGGCAGCGGUGGGGAAUUUUGGACAAUGGGCGAAAGCCUGAUCCAGCCAUGCCGCGUGAGUGAAGAAGGCCUUCGGGUUGUAAAGCUCUUUCAGACGGAAAGAAAUCUCUCGGGUGAAUAUCCCGGGAGGAUGACGGUACCGUAAGAAGAAGCACCGGCUAACUACGUGCCAGCCGCCGCCGUAACAC
rnacentral:rRNA from 1 species